rnacentral:rRNA from 1 species
GAUGAACGCUAGCGGCAGGCCUAACACAUGCAAGUCGAACGGUAACAUGAGAGCUUGCUCUUGAUGACGAGUGGCGCACGGGUGCGUAACGCGUAUGCAACCUACCUUUUACUGAGGGAUAGCCCAGAGAAAUUUGGAUUAAUACCUCAUAGUAUCAUAAAUGUUCAUGCAUUAAUGAUUAAAACUUCGGUGGUAAAAGAUGGGCAUGCGUAAGAUUAGCUAGUUGGUAAGGUAACGGCUUACCAAGGCAACGAUCUUUAGGGGGCCUGAGAGGGUGGUCCCCCACACUGGUACUGAGACACGGACCAGACUCCUACGGGAGGCAGCAGUGAGGAAUAUUGGUCAAUGGACGCAAGUCUGAACCAGCCAUGCCGCGUGCAGGAAGACGGCCCUAUGGGUUGUAAACUGCUUUUAUAUAGGAAGAAACUUCUCUACGUGUAGAGAGCUGACGGUACUAUAUGAAUAAGCACCGGCUAACUCCG